rnacentral:rRNA from 1 species
UAGGGAAUCUUCGGCAAUGGACGAAAGUCUGACCGAGCAACGCCGCGUGAGCGAAGAAGGUUUUCGGAUCGUAAAACUCUGUUGUUAGAGAAGAACAAGGACGUUAGUAACUGAACGUCCCCUGACGGUAUCUAACCAGAAAGCCACGGCUAACUACGUGCCAGCCGCCGCGGUCAUACGUAGGUGGCAAGCGUUGUCCGGAUUUAUUGGGCGUAAAGCGAGCGCAGGCGGUUUCUUAAGUCUGAUGUGAAAGCCCCCGGCUCAACCGGGGAGGGUCAUUGGAAACUGGGAGACUUGAGUGCAGAAGAGGAGAGUGGAAUUCCAGGUGUAGCGGUGAGAUGCGUAGAUAGAUGGAGGAACAACAGUGGCGAAGGCGGCGCUCUGGUCUGUAACUGACGCUGAGGAUCGAAAGCGUGGGGAGCAAACAGG